rnacentral:misc_RNA from 1 species
CCAUUAACAAGUAGCCAAGAUCAGGAACGAAUAAGUGGAAGACUUGUGCAAUAGCUGUCCUUGCACAAGAUUUUUUGCAUAAUCACACAAAGAAAAUAAAAGCUAUUAUGCAUAUUUGCAAGAAGUGAGAUGGACACGUUAAAUUAUGAAGUAACUAAUAAAUUACAAGUACCAAAAUCUAUAUUAUGAAAAACCUCUGGAGUUCUUUUAAUCAACCUUAUUUGAGGUGGAAGUAAAUUACACCUUGCUAUAGGUACUUACAGCCCAAUUUUUUUUUUUUUUAAUUCGAGUUCAUGAACUUAGCUAAAUUCAUGUAUUUAAUCAAUCAAAAGAUGCAGAUUUAUCACUUGCAAAACAAAAUAGAAAUCCCUUCCACCAUUUAAUAUUAUUUAUAUCGCAUUUCUAAAAACUUCAACAAUUAAUAACAUUAAAAGCAAUAAAUUUACAUAAUUGUGGCCACUAUUGUUAGAAUCUUACAAUUCUUUCUUCAAAGAGUAUGAUUUAAUUCUUCAUUCCCCAUCCUAGCAAUUUGAAUCUAUGGGGUGAAUCGAAAAUGUAGAUGAAUCAUCACCAAAUCUUCCGAUUUGAUAGUAAAUCGGGUGAAUUGAUAUGAAUCAAUAGGUCAAUUCUUUUUCUAGAGGGUUGUUAAACCCUACAUCUUUAAAAUUUAAAAUUUUACUUCAUUUUUACUAUGAGAAGUACACAU